GGCCUCGUAGCUCAGUUGGCUAGAGGGUUGUUUUUACUCAAACCUUCCCUUUGCUUGCGUGGGUUCGAAUCCGACCGAUGCCA
rnacentral:tRNA from 1 species